rfam:Picea glauca, whole genome shotgun sequence.
AUGUACAUGCCUACAUCAUUAAUGCAAUGAAUCCCAUCAUAACUUUGUAGUUAAGCACGCUUGGGAUAGAGUAGUACUGGGAUGAUUGACCUCCUGAGAAGUCCUAGUGUUUUACAUU